rnacentral:misc_RNA from 1 species
GUGAGGCUCUGCGCCUGCCGAUCGUUUGUGUAUCUAGAGGAGACGAAUUUGGACAGGUAGAUUGUUAUUUUAGUGAUUAUAUGUGCAAGUUAAUUAAUAUAGUUUCAAUGUUCCAGUAUCGCAUAUGAUGAUCAACUAUGGAUGUCUUUUAAAGGCCUCAAAAUUCUGUCAUUAAUGCAGCGGUGGGGCAGCAAGAGGGAGAUGAUGGGAGAUGACCCACCCUACUUAGCUGUGGGCACUGAGGUGAGUGCCAAAUACAAGGGUGCAUUUUGCGAGGCCAAGGUUCGCAAGAUCGUCCGAAGUGUGAAAUGCAAGAUUGCAUACAAAUUAGGCCUUGGCACUGCUGUUGUUACUGAUGAUCAAAUAAAAGGCACUCUAAGAGCCGGAUCAGUAGUGGAGGUGAGACAUGCAGAUAAGAAAGAAUAUGUGGAGGCAACUAUAAUAAAAAUACAAGACUGCAGCCAGUACACAGUUGUGUUUGAUGAUGGGGACAUUACAACACUGCGGCGUACAGCACUGUGUCUCAAGAGCGGAAGGCACUUUGCAGAGAGCGAGACUCUGGAUCAACUGCCUCUCACUCAUCCAGAGCAUUUUGGGAAUCCAGUGAUAGGUGGCCGCCGUGGCAGACGGAAUAGGCAUGAUGACAGCAGUGAUGAUGAGGAAUCGUCGAAGAAAGGGAAGCAACCAAAAGAGGAAAAGGAAGCAGAUAUUGGGAAGGUGGUGUGUGUGGAGAUUAGCGAAAAGAAGAAACAGAAGGAUAAUUGGUUUCCGGGUUUGGUUGUGGCCCCGACUGCUCAGGAUACUGUCAAGAUAAAUGUAAAGGAGGACUACCUUGUACGCUCUUUCAAGGAUGGCAGAUACUACACAGUUCCUAAGAAGGAGGCUACACCUUUUACAAGAGAAAUUGGUCAGAAAGUCGAUAACAACACACUGAGAGCAGCCGUGGAGAAGGCUCUGUUGUUUCUGGACAGAGAUGAGUUGCCGCCACACUGGGAUCGGGAAUUGCUCUUUGGUCUCACCGAGAUUACAGACACUGACUCUGAUGCAGCCUUUGAUUCUGAUACAUCAGAUGAUGAGCCAAGAGAAGAGAAGGAUCACUUUGUGGCUCAGCUAUAUAAGUUCAUGGAUGACAGAGGCACUCCGAUCAACAAAGGACCCACCAUCAAUGGCCGGGAUGUCGACCUUUAUAAGCUUUUCAAGGUUGUACAUAAGCUGGGAGGCUGUAACAGAGUCACCAAUCACAACCAGUGGAAGACUGUCUCCCACAAACUAGGUUUUGGUCAGAACCCCACCUCUGUCAAUCUGGUCAGGCACGCUUAUAAAAAGUUCCUUCACAGUUUUGAAGAUUUUUACCGCAAGUUGGGCUGCACAAUGGUUAAUCACCCACGAGGUCAUAGAGCUCGACACCGCUCCAGCCGCAGCCUCAUUCGUGACAAGGACAAGUCUGUACCAGUUAAGGACAAACAAAGUGAAAAAGAUACGGAAGAAACUAAGGAAGAACCAAUAGCUGAACAUAGUAAAGAUAAAGAGAUCAUACCAAAAGAAGAACCAAAAUCUAAGGAAAUGGCAACAGAACCUCCAAAACCUCUUAGAGAAUCGCGAAAAGAAUCACAAAGGCCCAGAAAUGACAAAGUUGAGAAGAAAGAAGAAGUAAAAGCAACACCUUCAGUACCGAAGACAUCUGAAUUAACAACCAUAACAAAACCUAUUCGAGAGGAUAAAACCAAAUUAGAUGACAGAGAAGAAAGGAUAAAAAUGAGAGAAAUGGUCAAACUUGACAAUAUUGUUAAAGACGAAUCAAAAACUGAAAAAGAUAACACUAACCAGAAAGUAAUAAAAGAUUUAAAAAAUGAGGAAAGUCAAAGGCUAGUAAAAGCAUCACGUAGAGAUAUUAAGGAAAACAAAAAAGAUGAUAAAGAAGAUGAAAAAAAUAAACUGCCUCAUGAACGAGAAGUGAGACCUAAAAAGACAAAUCCUGUGGGUACACAAGGUUCAGAUGAAACUAAAGUAACAAAAAUUCGAAGUUUGUUUUCAAAAAUUACUGGAUCUAAACGUGUGAAACCUGUAACAGAUAGUAAAAUACCACGAGCAGGUAAACCUAUGGGCCUAAACGCGGUCCGACAGAAACGCACAUUUUCAGAAAGGAUGAAAGCGAUGGUAAAAAAAUUCAAAAUGAAACCAGCUGUGAAACAUUUAAGGCACAAAUCGCCCCCUCCGUCUGAAAGUAAGGAGGUGGAAGAGAAGAAAAAGCCAGUUCCUGAAGAAGCUACCAAAGUGACUGUUCCUCAGCUGACCAGGUCGAAAUCCAAGGAAGAGGUCUCUUGUAAGCUCCGCAAACCUGAUAUAGUCCAUGACAAAAAAUCUGCUGUGCCCUCCACAUCUCAGCCAGUACACCUGGACAAGAAACAGGGCCAUUCUAAGAAACGGAAGGAUGAAGAGAAAAACUCUACCAAUGAUGAAACAAUGGACCAGUUGCCAAACUACAAGACUGUCGCUGUGGGGGACAAGUUGAAGGUGUAUUACGGGCCGACACACGAGUCCAAGGUGACAUAUGAGGCCAAGGUGUUGAGUCUGAAGGUGGAAGACCAUGAGACUCUGUACCUUGUCCACUAUACUGGCUGGAACACAAGAUAUGAUGAAUGGAUAAAGCGUAGCCGUAUCGCAGAUAAUCUCAGUUGGACCCCUGGACGUGCCAAGCGCACACGCCAACAACCGUCCACUCAGCAGCAGCCCUCGCAGUCACAUGUCCGAGUGUACAAACGCUCCAAGAGUGGGGAGACAGUAGCUCCACGUUCCACCACACCCUCAUCGGUCACUUCAUCAUCCAGUCGCACAAAAAGUCCUGCUGUAAGUGGUGCUCCUCGCAGCAUGCGCUCCAGAGCAAGGACCCGCCGUGCUUCAGGCCACACACACACAGAUUUCUCAGAGUCUGAAAUGGAGGACGAAUAUGAAAGUGAUGAUCAAGUUAAGGAUAGUUGCAAUGACCAGCGGCCGGAGAGUGAAGAAAAGGAUUCAAAGGAGCUAAAGGAUAUCUUGUUGGAUAAGAUGCGGGCUCGAAGAAGAAGAGUUGAGGUGGAAAGUGGAGGGGAAAGUGAGGACAUAGAAAAACACAAGAAAGGUAAAGAAGAAAGUGAAGAGGAGGGACAAAUAGAGCGGACAAGAAGUAGAAGUGAGAAAAGGAGAUCAGAAGAGCUACCGAAAAUAAACUCAACAGGAUCAGAUGAAGUUAAAAAAGAAAUUGUUGAUUCGUAUCGAAGUGAUAGAUUGAGAAAUAAGCGUAAAGUUACAGAGGAGAAAGUUGACAGUAGUGAUGAAAGAGAAACUAAACAAGAAACUAAAAUUGAGGAAGCUAAAAAUCAGAAAUUACCUCAAGAAGAUAAACGUAAACCUGAUACUAAGCCAUUAACAAUAGAAUUAGAAAAGGUAGAAAGUGAACAGCAAGAAUUAGAUUCCAAGAAGAAACUUAAAAGGAAAUUUAAUGAUUCCUCUAUGGAAGAAGAGAGUAAAGAACCUCAAGUAAGUGAAAGAAGAAGAAGUAAAAGAGUAACACCAAGAAAAGAAGACUUAAAAUCAGUGAAUAUUAAAGAAGAAGAUGAUCAACCAAGAGGGAGGGAAUUUGAUUUAAACCAAAUUAGGUCAGAAUUAAAAGGUAUAACUCAAGCUAAUAAAAUACCUGUUGAAACUGUUAAUUUCACUGAAAAGGAUGAUGAAGAUAGUGAUGAGAAACCUGAUGAUGAAGAAUCAUUGAAAGAAGAAGACCUUAUAAAAAAAGAACCAGAUUCUAUGCUUGAAGAUAUUUAUGAAUUCAAAGAACCUGAACCUUUUGAAUUUGAAGUAAGAUCAAAAUGUGGAGAAGAAAAAGGAGGUAAAAUUCAAAGGCGAUCUUUUGGCAGGAUGUGUGAUGAAUCUAAUUCCACAUCUCCAGUGUCAGUUAGGAAAAAAUUAAUAAAAAUGAAAUCUGAAUCACCAAAUUCACUUGAAAAUAAGCGAACUGUUAAAAAGACAAUUUUAAAAUUAGAAGAUGAAGAGAUCGAUAAAGCUGAAUCGGAAUCUGAAAGCGUUGAUGUUAAGAAAGAACUUGAACCUAAUGAGGACUUAACCAUCCGGUCAAGUUCACCUCAAGAAAAUCCUAAAACUGAGAAUGACAUGUCGUCAGAUAUGGAUAAAGAAGUAGAGGAUAACAACUUAGGACCUAAACAUGUUGAAGAUAUUUUUCAGCCUCUUAGUUUAUUCAGUAACCUGCCAGGUGAAGGAGAGAGUGCAGGAAUUGAUGAAGACAGUGAAGGUCGUCUUGUCAUAUCUGAACCAGAAACAGAGACAGAAUCUCAAGGACCUCUUUUUUCACACCAACAAAGAGACCAUGAAGAUUUCUUUCCAACUUCAAUUACACAAUCUUCUUCCGUUGAGAACUCUCAGAACAGAUCACCGUUUUCUGGAUUUACGGAUAAGUUAAAAGAUGACGAAGAUGAAACCAAAGUUGAGGAAAAGUCCAGUGUUAAAAAAGAAGAUGAUGAUGAUGAGGCUGAAGAGGAUCCCAUUAUCAGUGCCAUUCAAAGAGUUCAAAGGGAGUUUUCACAAUCUACUGGAGAUGAAGACAGUAAUGACAUUGAUCUUCUUUCUGAGCUCCCAGACCCCAUGCACAAAAAAGAUCAAGAUUUCAUGUCCAUAGUCAAAGAUAAUGAAAAUGACAGUAAUUCAGAAAACAGCAAAGAAAGUUGUGAAUCUCAAAACGUAGAAAAUUUUGAAGACCAAACUCAGUCAGUGGAAAGUGAUGACAAUAUAAACGAUCCUAUUGAAACAGAUAGUUGUAAGAUUGUAGAUGAAAUAAACUUGGAUAGCAAUGACACUGAGACAGAUGUUCAUGAUGAGGAAAAGGAAGUUUCAGACAAUGAAGAAGAAACAGAAAACAGCCAAUCCAAAUUGAAUGAAUCUAAAGAGCUAGAUAAGACAGAGAUUUCAGAAGUUACAAUGAAUGUUGACCAGGUAGAUAUUGAGAGCAUAGAAGAAGAUGAAGUAAUUGAAGUGGAAGAAGAAGAGGAAGACGAAGGGGGAGAUGAAGACGAAGAGACAACAGAGGAAGAAGAAGAAGGAUAUUGCCAUGCAGGCGAUGAAAGUGAAGAAAAUCUUGAAAAUGCAGAGAAAGGAAGUGAAGAGGAAGAAGAGUGUGAAAUAAAAGAAGAAGAAAUAAUUGAAGACAGCCAGGGAAGUGAACCUACUCUAAUUGACAACGAAACCAAGGAUGAAGUAGAAGCCACUGAAGAGCAAGUUGAAUUGGAUGAAGAAGUAAUGGUUGAAGCUGUUGAAGAGAAGAAAGACGUAGAAGAUGAAAUGAAUGAACAUAAUGAUGAAGAAAAAGAGAGUGAAGAUGUUGUUGAAGAAUCAAAUGAGGUAGAAUCAAAAGAAGAUGAAGUGAAAGAGGAAACCUGUGAGGUGGAGGAAACAGAAAGUAAUUUGGAGAGUUUACUUUGUGAGGAGACCAUUCCAGGGAGUCCAGCUCCCACGACUUCUGUACCAGUUGAGAAUCCACCACCUACAUCACCUGAACUGCCAUUUGCCAGUGCUGCUGUCAUAUACAAGCCACCCCAACUUACCCCUGCCCUGCCUCCACCACCUCCACCACCACCACUACUGCCACCACCACCACUCCUACCUCCACCUCCACCAGUUCCACAGGUAGUUAAUGAAGCUGCACCAGUCAUGGAGAACACUCCACCGACAACUCCUGAAAGUAGCUUGUCACCCAUCUCCAACUCUCCGAGAGGAGAACGGAGUGGUUCAUCCCCAGUUCCUGGAAAUGAAAGCUCCAAGUCAAAUCGUGACUCGUCAGAAGUUGACAUGGACACAUUUACUGGUACAACGAAAAUUAGCCAUUACAGUGAAGACGAUACAAAUUGUAGUGUUGGAAAUACCAACAUUUCCUUGAAGAAAGUGCCAAUUGCCGAGGAAACAGAGUCUCACGGAAUCAAGAAAAGAAGAAGAAGCCACAAACGUUCAGAGGAAAAUGUCAAAAGAAUUAAACUAUCACACAGAAGUCCAAGGCAUAGCAAUAUGGGAAGCGAAAGUGAUGAUGAUACAUCUGAAAAUUCGUUAGAUCUCUCUGUGCACUCCCGAUCUCCACGACCUUCGAAAUAUAAUUUUUAUGUUCAAUUAGAUCCUGAGUUAGACGGAUCACAGCGCAUCGCAGUGCUUCAAGAGAAGUUGGCAGAAUUGCGAAAGACAUACAUGACGGUCAAAGCAGAACUCGCUGGCAUUGACCGUCGGCGCAAGAAGUUGCGACGCAGGGAACGGGAGGCCUCAGGUAAACGGAGGACUGCUCACAAGAGGUGGUUGAUAAGUGAUAGUUAGCUCAGGGCUAAGAUACACCUGUUAUCAACAUUGCUGAUUGUGUUGCCCAAAUUGAAGACGAAUGUUAAACCAGAAGUCCCGUGCUCGUGAUGGCAGCUUCACUCCAUGUAAUUUUCAAGACUUAACUAGAAUAGUAUCAGUAGCAUAAGAUAGAAGCAACAUAUUUUUCCAAUCAACUUUAUUAAAUGUUUUUUAUUACAGAUUAUAAUAAUAUAUUUGUAUAAGAAGUUGGUCAAUGACAGCAAUAUUAGGGUUAAUAUUCCUGGGGAAUAUCUGUCAUAUAUAUAAAUAUAUAUAUAUUUGGAUACAAUUUUAAAUGUACGAAAGACAAAUUAUUUUACUGUACAGUAAAUCAUAUAUUUGUAUAUGAUCAUUAUAUUUUUAUUAUUUUUUAUUGUAUAUAUUUAUAUAGAGUUUGUUUCAAUUUUUUUUAGAUCAAUCUAGUAUGUUGAUUUUGUAGUUGUUUUUAAAUGUUGUAUUUAUGAUAAGUGUCUCAAGCUUAUAGUCUUAAGUUGUUAAGUUUUUGUAAUUAAUUGAAGAUGUACAAUUAGAAUUUUUUAAAUAAAUUACAAUGUAUUAAAUAAUAGAGAAAGGAAUUGGAAAUUGUGAACUACGAACACUUUUUCCAUUCACCAGAAAAGUGCUUCAGCUUCCAUUAUACUGUUAUAUUAAUGUAAUAUUGUAUUAUUAAUGUAUGAAAUCAUUAUACGAAAUAAUUAACCUGUAUAGUGUAGAAAAGAGAUUUUAUACAUUUUUGUAAUGAAUUUUGAUUUUUGAAAUCAUCACAUAAAAUUGUAGAAUUUUUACUUAGUACUAAGACUUUUGUUUGAUACUUCUGUAGUUAAUUUGUAUUGAAAUGGUAAUAUAACUUUAUGUUCGUUUCCUUGGUUGUAUGGCGGAUUAGUAGCAUACCCUCAUAAUCUGUCCAUUAAAAAUUUUGUUUUGGUUUGUUAUGGGCGUAAAUUAAAAUAAUUAUUGUAAAUAAAUAUAAACACCUCUUUAAUAAUUUUUCUUGAUUAGAAUAAAAUAAAUUACAAUAAAAUUCAAGGUUGAGAAAAACCAUUGUUUUUAUUUGAAGUGAUGAUAAAGUUCAAUGACUAAAAUAGACAAUGAUUGUUGUAUUAAAAAUAUAUUUUGUAAUUAAAAUAAAUUAGUGCAA